rnacentral:rRNA from 1 species
CAGUCGCCACGGGAAUACGGAGGGAGCUAGCGUUAUUCGGAAUUACUGGGCGUAAGGUGCACGUAGGCGGCUUUGUAAGUUAGAGGUGAAAGCCUGGAGCUCAACUCCAGAAUUGCCUUUAAGACUGCAUCGCUUGAAUCCAGGAGAGGUGAGUGGAAUUCCGAGUGUAGAGGUGAAAUUCGUAGAUAUUCGGAAGAACACCAGUGGCGAAGGCGGCUCACUGGCUCAUACUGGACGCUGAGGUGCGAAAGCGUGGGGAGCAAACAGGAUUAGAUACCCCGGUAGUCCCUGUCUCUUAUAC